rnacentral:rRNA from 1 species
CAGCAGCCGCGGUAAUACGGAGGGUGCAAGCGUUAAUCGGAAUUACUGGGCGUAAAGCGCACGCAGGCGGUCUGACAAGUCAGAUGUGAAAUCCCCGGGCUUAACCUGGGAACUGCAUUUGAAACUGUCAGGCUGGAGUCUUGUAGAGGGGGGUGAAAUUCCAGGUGUAGCGGUGAAAUGCGUAGAGAUCUGGAGGAAUACCGGUGGCGAAGGCGGCCCCCUGGACAAAGACUGACGCUCAGGUGCGAAAGCGUGGGGAGCAAACAGGAUUAGAUACCCCGGUAGUCCCUGUCUCUUAUAC